UACGGAGGGUGCAAGCGUUGUUCGGAAUUAUUGGGCGUAAAGCGCGCGCAGGCGGUCUGAAAAGUCUAUGGGUGAAAUGCCGGGGCUCAACCCCGUGCAUGCCCAGGAUACUGUCAGACUGGAGACACGUAGAGGCAAGCGGAAUUCCGGGUGUAGCGGUGGAAUGCGUAGAGAUCCGGAAGAACACCGGUGGCGAAGGCGGCCUGCUGGGCAGUGGCUGACACUGAGGCGCGACAGCGUGGGGAGCAAACAGG
rnacentral:rRNA from 1 species